rnacentral:rRNA from 1 species
GACGAACGCUGGCGGCGUGCCUAAUACAUGCAAGUCGAGCGCAGGAAACCAUCCGAACCCUUCGGGGGGACGUUGAUGGAAUGAGCGGCGGACGGGUGAGUAACACGUAAAGAACCUGCCCUCAGGUCUGGGAUAACCACGAGAAAUCGGGGCUAAUACCGGAUGGGUCAUCGGACCGCAUGGUCCGAGGAUGAAAGGCGCUUCGGCGUCGCCUGGGGAUGGCUUUGCGGUGCAUUAGCUAGUUGGUGGGGUAAUGGCCCACCAAGGCGACGAGGCAUAGCCGACCUGAGAGGGUGAUCGGCCACACUGGGACUGAGACACGGCCCAGACUCCUACGGGAGGCAGCAGUAGGGAAUCUUCCACAAUGGACGAAAGUCUGAUGGAGCAACGCCGCGUGAACGAUGAAGGCCUUCGGGUCGUAAAGUUCUGUUGUAAGGGAAGAACAAGUGCCGCAGGCAAUGGUGGCACCUUGACGGUACCUUGCGAGAAAGCCACGGCUAACUACGUGCCAGCCGCCGCCGUAA